CUGGCGGCGUGCUUAACACAUGCAAGUCGAACGGUGAAGCCUUUCGGGGUGGAUCAGUGGCGAACGGGUGAGUAACACGUGGGCAAUCUGCCCUGCACUCUGGGACAAGCCCUGGAAACGGGGUCUAAUACCGGAUAUUACCUGAGGGGGCAUCUUCUCGGGUGGAAAGCUCCGGCGGUGCAGGAUGAGCCCGCGGCCUAUCAGCUUGUUGGUGGGGUGAUGGCCUACCAAGGCGACGACGGGUAGCCGGCCUGAGAGGGCGACCGGCCACACUGGGACUGAGACACGGCCCAGACUCCUACGGGAGGCAGCAGUGGGGAAUAUUGCACAAUGGGCGAAAGCCUGAUGCAGCGACGCCGCGUGAGGGAUGACGGCCUUCGGGUUGUAAACCUCUUUCAGCAGGGAAGAAGCGCAAGUGACGGUACCUGCAGAAGAAGCACCGGCUAACUACGUGCCAGCAGCCGCGGUAAUACGUAGGGUGCGAGCGUUGUCCGGAAUUAUUGGGCGUAAAGAGCUCGUAGGCGGCUUGUCGCGUCGGAUGUGAAAGCCCGGGGCUUAACUCCGGGUCUGCAUUCGAUACGGGCAGGCUAGAGUUCGGUA
rnacentral:rRNA from 1 species